rnacentral:lncRNA from 1 species
UUUGCUUAACAUUUUUGCUGUUUACAGUUUAUCUCUAUCUAUAAUAGUAUUCAAGAUAAUAAUCAACUAGAGGCUCUAAAGAGCCUGUGUCGCUCACCUUGGUCUAUGUGCAUAUUAAACAAAGAACACAAAUGGAUUCAUGACAAAAUUGUAUUUUGGUGAUGGUGAUGUGUUUGAAGUUCUUACUUUACUGAACAUUCUUGCUUCUUACAAUUAUAUCUAUAAUGAACUUUGCCCAUUAGUAACAGAGAAAAAUAUUUGGUAAAAAUUUACAUAAAUUUACCAAAUUAAUGAAAAUUGUUAAAAAUUGACUAUAUAGAGGGCAAUAACUCCUUAAGGGGUCAAUUGACCAUUUUAGGUCAUGUGGACUUAUUUGUAGAUCUUACUUUGAUGAAACAUUAUCGCUGUUUACAGUUUUAUCGCUAUCUAUAAUAGUAUUCAAGAUAAUAACCAAAAACAGCAAAAUUUCUUUAAAAAUUACCAAUUGGAGGGCAGCAACCCAAUAACCGGUUGUCCUAUUCAUUUGAAUAUUUCAGGGCAGAUAUAUAUUGACUUGAUUAACAAUUUAACUCCUUGUCAGAUUUCCUCUAAAUGAUUUGGGUUUCAGAGUUAUAAGCAAAAAACUACAUUUUACCCCUGUUCUAUUUUUAGCCGUGGUGGCCAUCUUGGUUGGAUGGCCAGGUCAUCGGACACAUUUUUCAAACAAGGUAUCUCAAAGAUGAUUGUGGCCAGGUUUGAAUUAAUUUGGCCCAGUAGUUUCAGAGGAGAAGAUUUUUGUAAAAGAUAACUAAGAUUUACGAAAAAUGGUUAAAAAUUGACUAUAAAGGGCAAUAACUCCUAAAGGGGUCAACUGACCAUUUCCGUCAUGUUGACUUAUUUGUUAAUCUUACUUUGAUGAACAUUAUUGCUGUUUACAGUUUAUCUCUAUCUAUAAUAAUAUUCAAGAUAAUAACCAAAAACAG